rnacentral:rRNA from 1 species
GGGUUGUGAGGUUAAGCGACUAAGCGUACACGGUGGAUGCCCUGGCAGUCAGAGGCGAUGAAGGACGUGCUAAUCUGCGAUAAGCGCCGGUAAGGUGAUAUGAACCGUUAUAACCGGCGAUUUCCGAAUGGGGAAACCCAGUGUGAUUCGUCACACUAUCAUUAACUGAAUCCAUAGGUUAAUGAGGCGAACCGGGGGAACUGAAACAUCUAAGUACCCCGAGGAAAAGAAAUCAACCGAGAUUCCCCCAGUAGCGGCGAGCGAACGGGGAGGAGCCCAGAGCCUGAAUCAGCAUGUGUGUUAGUGGAAGCGUCUGGAAAGGCGCGCGAUACAGGGUGACAGCCCCGUACACAAAAGCGCAUAUGCUGUGAGCUCGAUGAGUAGGGCGGGACACGUGGUAUCCUGUCUGAAUAUGGGGGGACCAUCCUCCAAGGCUAAAUACUCCUGACUGACCGAUAGUGAACCAGUACCGUGAGGGAAAGGCGAAAAGAACCCCGGCGAGGGGAGUGAAAAAGAACCUGAAACCGUGUACGUACAAGCAGUGGGAGCACAGGUUUACCUGUGUGACUGCGUACCUUUUGUAUAAUGGGUCAGCGACUUAUAUUCUGUAGCAAGGUUAACCGUAUAGGGGAGCCGUAGGGAAACCGAGUCUUAAUUGGGCGUUAAGUUGCAGGGUAUAGACCCGAAACCCGGUGAUCUAGCCAUGGGCAGGUUGAAGGUUGGGUAACACUAACUGGAGGACCGAACCGACUAAUGUUGAAAAAUUAGCGGAUGACCUGUGGCUGGGGGUGAAAGGCCAAUCAAACCGGGAGAUAGCUGGUUCUCCCCGAAAGCUAUUUAGGUAGCGCCUCGUGAA